rnacentral:rRNA from 1 species
GCCUAAUACAUGCAAGUCGAGCGAACGGACGAGAAGCUUGCUUCUCUGAUGUUAGCGGCGGACGGGUGAGUAACACGUGGAUAACCUACCUAUAAGACUGGGAUAACUUCGGGAAACCGGAGCUAAUACCGGAUAAUAUUUUGAACCGCAUGGUUCAAAAGUGAAAGACGGUCUUGCUGUCACUUAUAGAUGGAUCCGCGCUGCAUUAGCUAGUUGGUAAGGUAACGGCUUACCAAGGCAACGAUGCAUAGCCGACCUGAGAGGGUGAUCGGCCACACUGGAACUGAGACACGGUCCAGACUCCUACGGGAGGCAGCAGUAGGGAAUCUUCCGCAAUGGGCGAAAGCCUGACGGAGCAACGCCGCGUGAGUGAUGAAGGUCUUCGGAUCGUAAAACUCUGUUAUUAGGGAAGAACAUAUGUGUAAGUAACUGUGCACAUCUUGACGGUACCUAAUCAGAAAGCCACGGCUAACUACGUGCCAGCAGCCGCGGUAAUACGUAGGUGGCAAGCGUUAUCCGGAAUUAUUGGGCGUAAAGCGCGCGUAGGCGGUUUUUUAAGUCUGAUGUGAAAGCCCACGGCUCAACCGUGGAGGGUCAUUGGAAACUGGAAAACUUGAGUGCAGAAGAGGAAAGUGGAAUUCCAUGUGUAGCGGUGAAAUGCGCAGAGAUAUGGAGGAACACCAGUGGCGAAGGCGACUUUCUGGUCUGUAACUGACGCUGAUGUGCGAAAGCGUGGGGAUCAAACAGGAUUAGAUACCCUGGUAGUCCACGCCGUAAACGAUGAGUGCUAAGUGUUAGGGGGUUUCCGCCCCUUAGUGCUGCAGCUAACGCAUUAAGCACUCCGCCUGGGGAGUACGACCGCAAGGUUGAAACUCAAAGGAAUUGACGGGGACCCGCACAAGCGGUGGAGCAUGUGGUUUAAUUCGAAGCAACGCGAAGAACCUUACCAAAUCUUGACAUCCUUUGACAACUCUAGAGAUAGAGCCUUCCCCUUCGGGGGACAAAGUGACAGGUGGUGCAUGGUUGUCGUCAGCUCGUGUCGUGAGAUGUUGGGUUAAGUCCCGCAACGAGCGCAACCCUUAAGCUUAGUUGCCAUCAUUAAGUUGGGCACUCUAAGUUGACUGCCGGUGACAAACCGGAGGAAGGUGGGGAUGACGUCAAAUCAUCAUGCCCCUUAUGAUUUGGGCUACACACGUGCUACAAUGGACAAUACAAAGGGCAGCGAAACCGCGAGGUCAAGCAAAUCCCAUAAAGUUGUUCUCAGUUCGGAUUGUAGUCUGCAACUCGACUACAUGAAGCUGGAAUCGCUAGUAAUCGUAGAUCAGCAUGCUACGGUGAAUACGUUCCCGGGUCUUGUACACACC